GCUAAUGAUAGAAAUAAUUGAACGCCUCUGCCAUCAAAAGAUAUUUCAACAAAACUUCUGUCAAACACAAAAGAACCGUGCACCGAACUCAUGUUUCUGUCUUUCGUGAAAGGAAAGAAGACUUUCAUGACAGGCUAACAAAUGAUCGAUAAAGAUUGGAAAUGAAAUUGCAAUGGAAGGCGCUCACAUGUCCCCACAGAUGACCUUCAGUAACAACAAGUGAACCGUAAACAUCUCGGAGUGAACAAUAACAACUGUCAUCAACUAUCAACAAUCAAGCCGUCAUUACGAUGGCGAUGUGAUAAACGUGUGCACACGACCCAUCACCAUCAUUUUACCACUACCCGUUACUGACGGAGAAGUCUCAAUCUACAAAAAGCAUUCUAUUGUGGAUCAAAUCAAUACGACAAAAACGAAGUGGGUAGCUACAAACAAGAAAAUUCAACCACUAAUAUAGUAC